GGCCUGGAAUGGCCGUAAUGAUGAUGCAGACACAUAAAAAAUAAAGUCUGACGUUCCCCCGGUGGAGGAGGAGCGAUGGCGAAUUUAAGAAUAAAGCCCGAGGCCAAUACCUUAAAUUCRUAAAGUGCCACAGAGACKAGCCGACCGGRAACGGCCGGAGUGAAACGCGGUAAACUCCUCC
rnacentral:RNase_P_RNA from 1 species